CCUACGGGGUGCAGCAGUGAGGAAUAUUGGUCAAUGGGCGUAAGCCUGAACCAGCCAAGUCGCGUGAGGGAUGAAGGUUCUAUGGAUCGUAAACCUCUUUUAUAAGGGAAUAAAGUGUGGGACGUGUCCUGUUUUGUAUGUACCUUAUGAAUAAGGAUCGGCUAACUCCGUGCCAGCAGCCGCGGUAAUACGGAGGAUCCGAGCGUUAUCCGGAUUUAUUGGGUUUAAAGGGUGCGUAGGCGGCCUUUUAAGUCAGCGGUGAAAGUAUGUGGCUCAACCAUAGAAUUGCCGUUGAAACUGGGAGGCUUGAGUAUGUUUGAGGCAGGCGGAAUGCGUGGUGUAGCGGUGAAAUGCUUAGAUAUCACGCAGAACCCCGAUUGCGAAGGCAGCCUGCCAAGCCAUGACUGACGCUGAUGCACGAAAGCGUGGGGAUCAAACAGGAUUAGAUACCCCGGUAGUC
rnacentral:rRNA from 1 species